AAUCAAGGCAGCAGGGGCA
rnacentral:misc_RNA from 1 species